rnacentral:rRNA from 1 species
UACGUAGGGCGCAAGCGUUAUCCGGAAUUAUUGGGCGUAAAGAGCUCGUAGGCGGUUUGUCGCGUCUGCCGUGAAAGUCCGGGGCUCAACUCCGGAUCUGCGGUGGGUACGGGCAGACUAGAGUGAUGUAGGGGAGACUGGAAUUCCUGGUGGAGCGGUGAAAUGCGCAGAUAUCAGGAGGAACACCAAUAGCGAAGGCAGCUCGCUGGGACGUGACUGACACUAAGGCGCGAAAGCGUGGGGAGCGAACGAGG